GACUAACGCUGGCGGCGUGCCUAAUACAUGCAAGUCGAACGGGAUUCUUUGAUCAGCUUGCUGAGAGAAGGAUCUAGUGGCGGACGGGUGAGUAACGCGUGGGAAUCUGCCUCUUACUGGGGGAUAACAGUGGGAAACUACUGCUAAUACCGCAUAAGAUCUUCGGAUGAAAGGUGCAACUGCACCGGUAAGAGAUGAGCCCGCGUCCCAUUAGCUAGUUGGUGAGGUAAAGGCUCACCAAGGCGACGAUGGGUAGCCGGCCUGAGAGGGUGAACGGCCACACUGGGACUGAGACACGGCCCAGACUCCUACGGGAGGCAGCAGUAGGGAAUCUUCCGCAAUGGGCGCAAGCCUGACGGAGCGACGCCGCGUGAGUGAUGAAGGCCUUGGGUCGUAAAGCUCUGUUCUUGAGGACGAAUAAGCCAGGGAGUGGAAAGCCCUGGUGAUGACUGUACUCAAGGAGAAAGCUCCGGCUAACGUACGUGCC
rnacentral:rRNA from 1 species